UACGGAGGGUGCAAGCGUUAUCCGGAAUCACUGGGUUUAAAGGGUCCGUAGGCGGGCUGUUAAGUCAGGGGUGAAAGUUUGCCGCUCAACGGUAAAAUAGCCUUUGAUACUGGCGGUCUUGAGUAUGUGUGAAGUAAUUAGAAGAUGUAGUGUAGCGGUGAAAUGCAUAGAUAUUACAUAGAAUACCGAUUGCGAAGGCAGGUUACUAACACAUCAUUGACACUGAUGGACGAAAGCGUGGGUAGCGAACAGG
rnacentral:misc_RNA from 1 species